AAUUUUUCGACGCACAUGAUUUGAUAUCUUUCUAUAAAUACAUACAUACAUGAGGUAUUCGAGAAAUUGUCGAGACCUUGAGAGUUGGAAAUCCGAAGAAAAACAUCGGAUUGGGUGUGUCGGGAUUUCCGUGAAAGGAAAACUUAUUAGAAACUCAUUCCACGAAAUGCAUUAUUUCGAGAGGAUCAAAUUUUAUAAUUGUAUGAUUAAUAAUUUAAAUAAUAAGUGAAUAAAUAUAUUUUAUGAUCUAACUUUGAAAGUGACAGAAAAAUCGAAAAUUUGAAAUCACGGUAUUCAUUAAAGCCUUGAAACAACAGUCAGAGCCCCGAGUUUUUUAAAAUUACCGAAACUUUCGGAAUACUCGUUCUGAAUUCGAGGAGCUUUCGAUCCUAUAUAAGGAUUGACAAGAAAUAGAAAUGUCAGUGAACUAUCCGCGCUGUGGUUAAGCGGUAGGUCCCGAUGGACACAUUUGGAAAGACCCCCACACACACGACGUACUUAAAGGAGUUUUGGUAGCACUCACCUGGAUCCAUUACACAACAUUACGUAUGAGAUGCU